rnacentral:rRNA from 1 species
UGGGGAAUAUUGGACAAUGGAGGAAACUCUGAUCCAGCAAUUCUGUGUGUGUGAAGAAGGUUUUAGGACUGUAAAACACUUUUGGUAGGGAAGAAAAAAAUGACGGUACCUACAGAAGAAGCAACGGCUAAAUACGUGCCAGCAGCCGCGGUAAUACGUAUGUUGCGAGCGUUAUCCGGAAUUAUUGGGCUUAAAGGGCAUCUAGGCGGUAAGACAAGUUGAAGGUGAAAACCUGUGGCUCAACCAUAGGCUUGCCUACAAAACUGUUGAACUAGAGUACUGGAAAGGUGGGUGGAACUACACGAGUAGAGGUGGAAUUCGUAGAUAUGUGUAGGAAUGCCGAUGAUGAAGAUAACUCACUGGACGGAAACUGACGCUGAAGUGCGAAAGCUAGGGGGGCAAACAGG